AGAGCGAACGCUGGCGGCAGGCUUAACACAUGCAAGUCGAGCGGGCGUAGCAAUACGUCAGCGGCAGACGGGUGAGUAACGCGUGGGAACAUACCUUUUGGUUCGGAACAACACAGGGAAACUUGUGCUAAUACCGGAUAAGCCCUUACGGGGAAAGAUUUAUCGCCGAAAGAUUGGCCCGCGUCUGAUUAGCUAGUUGGUGAGGUAACGGCUCACCAAGGCGACGAUCAGUAGCUGGUCUGAGAGGAUGAUCAGCCACAUUGGGACUGAGACACGGCCCAAACUCCUACGGGAGGCAGCAGUGGGGAUAUUGGACAAUGGGCGAAAGCCUGAUCCAGCCAUGCCGCGUGAGUGAUGAAGGCCCUAGGGUUGUAAAGCUCUUUCGCCCGCGACGAUGAUGACGGUAGCGGGAGAAGAAGCCCGGCUAACUUCGCGCCAGCAGCCGC
rnacentral:rRNA from 1 species